GAAAGGUGAGGAGUAGUGAGCAUGCGCUCUCCAACCAAAGAAAGACGCUGGAGAGGAAGGAGGGCCUGGCAGAGGACGAGGGGCCCGAGAGCAGGCGCCGUGGUCACCAGGUGAUCUGGACGGAGAGCAGAUAAGAUAGCAGUCCUGGAGGAAGAAAGCCCCCCCUCUCCCCUUUUACCUCGUGACUCGAGUGAGCCCGCAGCACCCCAAGGAACAGAUUGCAACUUCCAAGAGUUGUGUGUAUAGACAGGGGAGAGAUGGUAGGACUCACCUUCCUCCUCACACGGCUUGGUGCAGCACAAGUCUCCAACCUGGGUUCAAGUCCUGGUCCCCUUCCUGGGCAACCUUGACGUGGGUAUCCUGUCCUUUACAUCGCGGCCAGGUUGGGCUGGAAAAAGCCCCGGGAUUCCCCCCAGGGCUGAACUGGCUGGUCCUCAAACAAAAUGGCCACCGCGCUUCCCCCUCCUCGGCCGGGAGGGCAUCUCUGCCAGGAGGUGGCACCACGAGCUCAUGUUUCGGGCAGAGACGUGUCUGACCAUUUGGUAAUCGUCCCUCAGCAUUGCAAGGAGCCCGAAAACUCGCCUAUUUAAUAGCUGCCUCUACACAGAUUUUUAAUCACGGUCACUGAUUGCUGGCACAAUGCGGACCAGGAGAGAGCUCCGGGAGAACAGUGCUGCCGGCUGGCUGCAGGAAAGCUUUCAAGAGAAGACAUUUGAUCUUCUUAAAGGAUCAGUUGGCGGGCUGGGGAUGAGGAGGGAGACAGCCUCACAGGCAUUCCAGCCUCAGGGAAUAUCCUGGCAGAGACUAAGAGCUGAAAAGCAAGGGAGGCAGUGAGUUUAUCCUGGGUUAUCCAUGUGGAUCCCGUGUCAUCACAAGUCUCAUUAAAUGUGGAAGAGGAAGAAAGGAGAAGAGGUCAGAGCAAUGUGAGAACUCAGCCACUAUUGCUGGCUUUGAGGAUGGAGAAACGGGCAUGAGAAAAGGAAUGCUGUGGUCUCUAGAAGCUGGAAAGUGCAAGAAAGGAAGAUUCUCAGUAGAGGUUCCAGAAAGGAAGACAGCCCAUCCAACACCCUGAUGUUAGCCCAGGGAAACCUAUGUCAGACUUCUGACCUCCAGAGUAGGAAGAUAAUAAACCUGUUGUUUUAAGC
ensembl:lncRNA